CAGAGGGGGGUGGAAUUCCACGUGUAGCAGUGAAAUGCGUAGAGAUGUGGAGGAACACCAAUGGCGAAGGCAGCCCCCUGGGUCGAUACUGACGCUCAUGCACGAAAGCGUGGGUAGCAAACAGGAUUAGAUACCCUGGUAGUCCACGCCCUAAACGAUGUCAACUAGGUGUUGGGAGGGUAAAACCUUUUAGUGCCGUAGCUAACG
rnacentral:rRNA from 1 species